AUCAGCAUGCCGCGGUGAAUACGUUCCCGGGCCUUGUACACACCGCCCGUCACACCAUGGGAGUCGGUAACACCCGAAGCCUGUAGUCUAACCGCAAGGGGGACGCAGUCGAAGGUGGGAUUGAUGACUGGGGUGAAGUCGUAACAAGGUAAC
rnacentral:rRNA from 1 species